rnacentral:rRNA from 1 species
UACGAGGGGGGCAAGUGUUGUUCGGAAUCACUGGGCGUAAAGGGCGCGUAGGCGGCUCAUGAAGGCUGUGGUGAAAGUCCGGGGCUCAACCUCGGAUCGGCCGUGGCGACUCGUGGGCUGGAGCACUGUAGAGGCGGGUGGAAUUCCGGGUGUAGCGGUGGAAUGCGUAGAGAUCCGGAAGAACACCAGUGGCGAAGGCGGCCCGCUGGGCAGUGGCUGACGCUGAGGCGCGACAGCGUGGGGAGCAAACAGG